ACCCCCUGGCAAUGGGCAAGGAAACAUCUGAUUGGUGGUAUUGCUCAUAUCAAUCAGGGGCAAAGCAGAUGUACAGUCCUUAGUUCAUCCUAGCUUGAUGUCUGUGUCGGUGGCCAGAGCUGUUUCAUGCCUGAGGCACAUUA
rnacentral:snoRNA from 1 species